ensembl:ribozyme RNase_MRP RNase MRP
GGACGUUCUGAAGACCUGCUCUCUAGGCUACCAGCAGAGGACGCUAGUUCCUCCCGGGUCUCGAACCCGCCUAGGGGAAAGUCCCCGGACCCCGGGCAGAGAGUGCCGCGCGCCUCCCGGUGCGCAACAACCUCUCUCGCGAGCUCGCGCCUUUCCCGCCAAGAAGCCCCCAGGGCCGAGCGGGCGAGCGCGGGAGGGGCGCCUUGUCACGCUCAUAGUUACGCAGGUAGUGCGCAUGCGCGGCGUCUCCCCCCAAAGGAGGCGUCGCCAUCGCACCAACACAACGGGGCUCAUUCUCGGGACGUC